AUGGCUUCUCGGCCUUUUGGCUAAGAUCAAGUAUAGUAUCUCUUCUUAUCAGUUUGAUACCUGAUAUGUCCAUUAAAAAUUAAAAAAAAAAAAAGAAAAAAGGUUAGGUCUGUGGGAACAAUUUUAAAGUAACUUCCUAACAGAUAACUGGGAAAUGUCAACAUUUCACAUUGGUCAAUACUAA